GGAUUAGAUACCCUGGUAGUCCACGCCGUAAACGAUGUCAACUAGCCGUUGGGGAACUUGAUUCUUUAGUGGCGCAGCUAACGCAUUAAGUUGACCGCCUGGGGAGUACGGCCGCAAGGUUAAAACUCAAAUGAAUUGACGGGGGCCCGCACAAGCGGUGGAGCAUGUGGUUUAAUUCGAUGCAACGCGAAGAACCUUACCAUCUCUUGACAUCCUGCGAACUUGGUAGAGAUACCUUGGUGCCUUCGGGAGCGCAGUGACAGGUGCUGCAUGGCUGUCGUCAGCUCGUGCCG
rnacentral:rRNA from 1 species